UACAGAGGUCCCAAGCGUUGUUCGGAUUCACUGGGCGUAAAGGGUGCGUAGGUGGUGGGGUAAGUCUGAUGUGAAUCUCCGAGCUUAACUCGGAAAUGGCAUUGGAAACUACCUUGCUAGAGGUUUGGAGGGGAGACUGGAAUUCUUGGUGUAGCAGUGAAAUGCGUAGAUAUCAAGAGGAACACCGGUGGCGAAAGCGAAGUCUCUGGACAAAUCCUGACACUGAGGCACGAAAGCUAGGGGAGCAAACAGG
rnacentral:rRNA from 1 species